CUCAGCCUCUGGUGAAACUGGACUUUCAAGUCUGUGCAGGUGAAGGUGUGUGAGAGCGCCCGAGAUGGCAGAACAAGAGCUACAGGGUACAAGCCCGAGGGACGAGCUGCGCGGUGAUUGGCUGCGGGGAGGCCUCAGGUGAGCUGCCAUUGGCAGAGGCGCGUUCAGGUAAGGCCCUUCUCCAAGUGCAGGUAACUCACUCCGAAGUUUACCCGAGUGGAGCGGCGGCACGUUCGCGGCGCGGCGGCAGCCCGUGGGAGCCGAGGGGAUUAUGGGUCGAACGGAAGGACUAAGGAGAGCUGAACUCGGGAUCCCCAGCCAACCGGAAUCCAAGGCGCAGCGCAACCACUCGGCUUUUUCGUGCCCACCAUGGAGAGGACUGUUCGACGGUUUCCGAAGAGUUUGAAGUUUACUUUGUGCUCAGAGGAGGGGAAAACACAACGAUUGCCGGGUUUGUUGCGUGAUUUCAUUUGUAACAUACCCACAACCAACACUUUUCGUGCCCCAAUUUGGUGUAAAAUAUGCCCAGUAGAUUACAGCUUUUCUAAGAGGUGAGCAUCCUUUCGUGAGCUGGGCAGAUGAUCUCGGUGGGGUGAGGAGAUUUGGUUGAACAGACCAUAAAUUGGCCCCUGGCGCACCUUUUUUCAUCUCACCUCUGCAGCUUGGGAUUCCAGAGCUGCAAACUACCACUGUUCCAUAAGCCUGUUGUCUUUUUGACGUUUCCAGGCAGACAUCAACAUUGACAUUGUAAUUCAAUAGAAGCUGUGACUACAAAGGUGCUUUAUCCUUCCAGGUUAAUAUGGUUGCUACGGAAACAAUUCAGGAUGAAGCUGACUUUUUUUGUGGUUCUGCUUCACUUGGUUGGAAACAACUCCAAACUAGCAAAGGGACGUUCACCUGGCUGCCAAUAUUCUGGAGGAGGUUGAGAGGAAAGGUACAUUACCCCUGUCCUUGUUGCUGCCUGGUGUACAAGCAUCUCUAAUGUUUCUCCUGCUGGAGUUGUAAUCACCUGUCUGCAAGGAGUGGAGUGGGGACCUGAGGAUCUAACAACUCCAAAUGCCCACAUUCACUCAGCCCCCUGCUUCUCAUCUCUCCUUCAGUUUUGGAAUCCCUGGGCCUCUCAGCAGCACCUCCCUGUGAUGGUCUAUGGCAUCUCCAAGACCCAGCGGAUGCUGGGAGUUUAUAGGGUAAUUGAGCUAUUUCUGUACUGACCUCUGCAUUAGAGUGUGCCGUCCACUGUUCUGUUAAAUCAGUUUCCACUCUUCCAUCUGCCCCAUCUUCCAGAAUUGUGUUGAAAUAUAUCUUUUGUGGAUGA